UGCACUAGCACAAAUGUAUUGAGUGCAAAUUCUGGUCUACUUUUGCAUUAGUUCUUCCUCUAGGAAACCCAUAGGACCCAUACUCCCAUAACAAUUCCUCUGUCUUGGCGAUGACGACAGCGGCUUCAGCCCCUACGAGAGCUGAAGUUCUCUAUCUCUUCCGUUCUCUGUUACGAAUCGCCCGGGAAUUCUCCGAUUACAAUAUUAGAGAGUACACCAAACGGAGAACGAUAGACGCCUUCCGUCAGAACCGAGACCUUGGGGAUCCUUUAACGAUUUCGUCGGCGUUUGCUGAUGGAAAAUCUCAGCUCCAAGUAGCAAGGAGACAGGCUGCUGUUUAUUCAUUGUACGCGCCGAAAGUCAAGAGCAUCAUGGAGAUUGAGCAUCACUGAAGAACUUUGAUCGGUUCUCGUGGGUUUUGCAUUUUGUUGAAGAAAGGAAACUGCUUUUGUAGUUUAUGCGAUAAUUCUUAUAUUUUCAGAAUUUGUACUGUAAGCUUACCUGUUUUAAUGAUGUAGCCUUGGGCGGAUGUUUUUACUGAUUUUCUGAGUUGUGUUAUGAGUUUGGCUGAACUUCAGUUGGAAAAGAUACGAGGAUUGGCAAUUAAUGGAGGAAAUGGCUCUUGAAAGAGUGGAAUUCUGAA